UUCCAUGGUGAACAAAACAGCCAAAGCCAAUUUGCUAGCAAUAGCCACCUCCUUCACUUUCCUUCUCUUUUAUCCUACUCCAAAAUCCUCCUACCACUCUCUCUUCAUUUCCGAUUCGCUUUCAGACAAUGCCUCCAUAUCUCACCACCUCUACACCCUCACCCGCCGGCCCCAUGUGGCAGGCCUUGAAGCCAACGCCGAAGCUGCAGCUUAUGUCCUCUCCGUUUUCGCUUCCUCCAAUAUCAAAUCCCACAUUGCCCCUUACCGUGUGGCCUUGCAUUAUCCGGUGUCACGCUCCUUAACACUCACGCCGUCACCACAAGAAUCCCCUAUCAGUUUCUGUCUUGAGCAAGAAAUCUAUGAGGGUGAUCCUUAUGCUGAUGUAGCACAUGAAGUCCUGCCCACUUUUCAUGCUUAUGCAAAGUCAGGAAAUGUCACUGCCCCUGUGGUUUAUGUCAAUUAUGGACGUUCGGAGGACUAUGCAAGAUUAGAACAAAUGGGAGUAAAUGUUUCGGGUUCGAUUGUGUUGGCAAAGUAUGGAAAAAUUUAUAGAGGGGGCAUUGUGCAGAUUGCAUAUGAGGCAGGUGCUGUAGGGGUUCUAGUGUAUUCAGAUAGGAAGGACUAUGGCGGUGGUGGAGGUGAGGCAAAGUGGUUUCCGGAUAAUAAGUGGUUGCCACCAAGCGGGGUUCAAGUGGGAUCAGUUUACAAUGGACUUGGUGACCCAACAACACCAGGAUGGGCAAGUACUGAAGAGUGUGAGAGGCUUUCGGAUGAUGAGGUGGAGAAGUCAGGGGAUGUUCCAUUGAUUCCUUCCCUUCCAAUUUCAGCAGUAGAUGGAGAAACCAUUUUGAGGUCUAUCGGAGGGCCAGUUGCAGAUGAGGAUUGGCAAGGGAGUGAAGAUGCCCCAACUUACAACGUUGGACCAGGUCCCGGGAUUGUUCAUCUCAGUUACACAGUAAGUCUCAAAUCAAGUUUUAAGUGAAGCAAUUUCAUGUGUUUUGUAUAUUCUUACACGCAUUGUAUGUAUAUAUUGUUGUGCUAGGAUAGCACCAAACCUUUUAGAACCAACUCUUUGUAACCCACAGAAAAUAUAUCAAAUGAAAUGCAAGAACAAUAUAGAAAAAACACCAAGAUUUUAACGAGGUUCCUCCACAGUCAGUGUAACUGGAGUACGUCCUCGGAGCAGUAGGAGCUCACCCAAUAAUCCACUAUCAACUAAAUGGGAGUUUACAAAGUGUUGGCAAUCUCACAACCCAAAAGCCCAAUACACCCAAUAGCUCUCACACACCAAAGAAACAAAUAGAGAAAGAAAUAUAAUGAAUAAUUUCUUCUCUAUACAUAUAGUUUAAAGCUAUUACAACAACAAUUACUUUGGUGGAUGAUUACUAACCAAUUGAAACAACAACUUGUUCUUCUUUUUGGGCUCUCUGCAAGACUGCAACUCUCUGAAUUUUCUCUCUAUUUUUUCUCCUCUAAAACAAAAGGGCAGUAGCUCUCUUCUCUCUCUCUCUCUCUACCACACAACCGAAUGGAAGAAAGCAACCAAACCCUCCAUUAUUAAGGAGCCAAAACUCACGGGUGGUAAACAAAAAAAAAGCAACCCAUAUUUUCUUCCCCAAAACAAGGAAACAUGUUGUCCACUUUUGGUUUGUUUAUUCUAAAGUAUAUGGCCACUUGGCCACAUAAUCCAACAAUCUCCACCUUGGCCAAGUUCCGAAAACGUCAUGAUAAGCCAACCAACACAAUUAGCACACAACAUCACUCCCAAACACUAGCAAGAGAACAACUCAUGCCGAGCCAAAUGCUCCAAAACUCCUACUGCUCAACGCCUUCUUUAAAUAGGCAAAAUGCGAGCCAAGUUCAAGCAAUGAACAAACUUGGCUACACCAACAACCUUAGUCAACAUAUCAGCAGGGUUGUCUUUAGUUGGAAUCUUCUGGAGAAUGAUUUCCCCUUCACCAACAAUUUCACGAACAAAGUGAUAACGCACAUCUAUGUGCUUGGUCCUCGCAUGAUGAACCUGAUACUUAGCCAAAUAAAUGGCACUCUGACUAUCACAAUGUACCUCCACCUGCUUCUGAUCAACCCCCAAAUCUCUAAUAAGCCCAUGUAUCCAAAUGGCCUCCUUUAUAGCUUCAGCAACUGCCAUAUAUUCAGCCUCUGUAGUAGACAAGGCAACAGACGACUGCAAAAUGGACCUCCAACAAACUGGCCCUUUAGCCAUAGUAAAACACAUAGCCUGUAGUAGACUUCCUUCCAUCCAGAUCACCUGCAUAAUCUGAAUCAACAUAACCAACAGCAAAAUGACUAAUACCAGAGUCAUCCCUCUCAAAGCAUAAACCAACAUCUCGAGUACCAUGGAGAUAUCUCAAUAUCCACUUAGCUGCUUGCCAAUGCUUUUUACCUGGAUUAUGCAUAUAUCGACUCACCAUGCCAACUGCAUGAGCAAUAUCCGGUCUAGAGCAUACCAUUGCAUACAUCAAACUACCAACCAAAUUUGCAUAUGGUAUAUUUUUCAUUUGCAGCUUCUCUUUAUCAGUUUUAGGACACUGUAGAGAACUCAAUUUAAAAUGAGGAGCCAAAGGGGUACUAACCGGUUUUGGUUGAAUCAUGAACUCCAAACUUCCGGAUCAACUUCUCAAGGUAUUGUCUUUUGAUUCAAACUGACCAAACCCUUCUCUCUAUUUCUAGUGAUCUCCAUGCCAAGGAUCUUCUUCGCUUCACCAAGAUCCUUCAUCUCAAACUCGUUCUUCAUUUGUUUCUUCAAUUUCUCAAUCUCUUCAACAUUCUUUGAGGCAAUCAACAUAUCAUCAACAUAUAUCAAUAAAUAAAUGAAAGACCCAUCUUGCAACUUCUUGAAGUACACACAAUGAUCAUAUUGACUUCUAGAAUAAUUUUGGCCUCUCAUAAAUUUAUCAAACCUCAAAUACCAUUGCCUUGGAGAUUGCUUCAAGCCAUAAAGUGAUUUCUUCAAUUUGCAAAACAAAUUUUCCUUCCCUUUCACUAUAUACCCAUCCGGUUGACACAUAUAGAUCUCUUCAUUCAAAUCACCAUGUAGGAAAGCCGUCUUCACAUCAAGUUGCACAAGCUCAAGAUCAUAUUGUGCAACAAGAGCUAACAUAAUACGAAUUGAGGAGUGCUUCACAACUGGAGAAAAUAUUUCAUUGUAGUCAAUGCCCUCCUUUUGUGCAUACCAUUUAGCAACUAAUCUUGCUUUAAAUCUCACAUUGCUUUUCUCAUCAGCAUCUUCCUUCUUGGCAUACACCCAUUUGCAACCGAUAGCUUUCUUGCCCUUAGGCAAUUUAGCUAACUCCCAAGUCUUGUUCUUCAAGAGAGAAUUCAUCUCAUCACCCAUGGCAUUGCACCACCUCUUCUUCUCCUCACUCUCAAUGGCUUCCUCAUAAUUGGAUGGAAUCUCUUCAGUGAUAAUAGGAAGAGCAAAAGCAACAUAAUCACUAUACCGAGCUGGCUUGGUAAUUUGUCUCUUUCCUCUGUUCUUGGCAAUAGACUCUUGAGGUGAGACUUGCUCUUCAACUUGAAUAGAAUCUUCAAGUUCAACUUCUUCAACAUCCUCAUAGUCUCCAACUUCUUCACUUGUAGUGGCUUCGACAUCAGCGGAAAUAAGAUUUGAAGUACCAUAGGCAACUUUCUCAAGCUCCACCUGUUGGACACCUUUCACAUUCUUCUCAGAGUCUUUGAACAUACUUUCUUCAUCAAAUGUCACAUCUCUGUUGAUUACAAGUUUUUUCAUCUCUGGGCACCACAACCUGUAACCUUUGACACCACUACUAAAACCAAGAAAGAUAGCCUUUUUGGCUUUAGGAUCAAGUUUAUUUUCAGUCACAUGAAAAUAAGCAGGUGAACCAAAAAUACGGAUAUAGUCAUAAUCAGAAGAAGGUUUUCCAGUCCAUACCUUCAUUGGUGUCUUACCCUGAAUAGCAGCUGAGGGUAACCGGUUGAUGAUGUGACAUGCAUAAUUAACUGCUUCUGCCCAAAAUGACUUGCUCAAACCCGACUGAGACAACAUACAUCUAACCUUCUCAAGCAAGGUUCGAUUCAAUCUUUCUGCAACUCCAUUUUGUUGUGGAGUUCCCCGAACACUGAAAUGUCUCACAAUUCCUUCCUCUUUGCAAACUUUAAAGAAAGGAUCGGAUGUGUAUUCACCACCAUUAUCCGAUCUCAAAAUCUUAAUCUUUCUCCCAGUCUGGUUCUCAACCAUUUUCUUCCAACCCAAGAAAAUGUUUAACACCUCACUCUUGUGCUUCAUAGUGUAGACCCAAGACCUUCUUGAAUAAUCAUCAACAAAGGUCACAAACCAAUGUCUACCACUCAAAGAGGGAGUCUUUGUAGGACCCCAAACAUCUGAAUGCACAUAAUCAAGAAUGUCAUUCGUCUGAUGUACAGCAGUACCAAACUUCACUCUAGUUUGCUUCCCCAAGACACAAUGCUCGCAGAAAUCAAGCUUACAAGUCGUGGCAACCUUUUAGAAGACCUUGUUUCACAAGCCCUUGUAGAGCUUUCUCACCGGCAUGGCCUAAUCUCUCAUAUGCCACAAUCUAGUAGUAUCUGAAUCAGAUGUGCCCAUAUUUUCAGAGACUACAUAUGCUUCACCUGUCACAGUGCUUCCCUGCAAUAAAUACAAAUGGCCACAUCUAGGAGCUUUCAUCACAACAAGUGCACCAUAAGUAACUUUCAAUGUCUGUCCAUCUGAAUGAAACCUGAAACCCUUGGAUUCCAAAAGUACCCAAAGAAAUAAGAUUUUUCUUCAAAUUCGGUACAUACCGAACACCUGUCAACUCUUUAACCAUGCCAUCAUGCAACUUCAAACGAACUGUACCAAUCCCUUUUGUUGUGCAAGGAUUGUCAUCUCCCAUGAACACAACACCGCCAUCAAACUCUUUCAAGCUUGAAAACCAAUCCUUGUGAGGAGUCAUAUGAUGAGUACAACCCGUAUCCAACACCCACUUAGUAGCACAAUCAAAUGAUGAGGAAGUGGUUAAAGCAAAAUCAGAAAAAUCUGUUUCAACCUCAGCAACAUUAGCUUCAGAACUUUCUUUGCCCUUGGUCUUCAAUUUAGGACAAUCUUUCUUCCAAUGGCCCUUAUUACGACAAAAGGCACAUUCAUCCAUUUCCAAAGGUUUUCUACCUUUAGAGUUUCCUCUAGGUCGAGACUGUGAUUUUUUCCUGCUAGAAGAUGACCUCCUCUCCGAUGAUCUACCUCUAACAAAUAAAGCUUCAGAGGUACUAUCAUGAUUUUUAUCUUUAUGCCUCAUUUCAUAAUUCAUCAAGGCAUUUGACACAUCUUCAAAUUUCACAGUUUUCUUUACCAUGCAUAAUAGUGGUAACAAAAUGCUCAUAAGAGUCCGGCAAGGAAUUCAACAAUAUUAAGGCCUUAUCUUCAUCCUUAAUAUCCUCAUCUAAAUUUAACAAGUCGGCAAUCAACUUAUUAAAAGCAUCAAGGUGUCUAAUCAUUUUUGUACCUUCUUUGUAUUGGAAGCGGUAUAGCUUUUUCUUCAAGUGUAGCCGGUUCUCUGCACUCUUCGUCAUAUACUUGUCUUCCAAUUUUUGCCACAACACACUUGCUACCGUCUCCCGCAUCACAAAAUACUUCUGAGUUUUUGCAAGGCACAACCGAAUUGAAGAGCAAGCCCACAAAUUUAAUUUCUCCAAUUCCGGCUUCGACAUAGUUUCCGGUUUCUCUCCCAACGCGGCAAGUAGAUCUUGUUGAGCCAACACAUCUUUGACCUCACAUUGCCACAUCCCGAAGUUGUUUGUGCCAUCAAACUUUUCCACUUCGAACUUUGCAUUUUGCACCGUCGUUCUUGCAAACCCGGAGCUGCUUCCAAAAGGAUUUUCAUCUUGCCCGUCUGACAUCUUUGGCAACUAGACAGUACCCAAGAGCAACCAGUGCUCUGAUACCAAUUGUUGUGCUAGGAUAGCACCAAACCUUUUAGAACCAACUCUUUGUAACCCACAGAAAAUAUCAAAUGAAAUGCAAGAACAAUAUAGAAAAGACACCAAGAUUUUAACGAGGUUCCUCCACAGUCAGUGUAACUGGAGUACGUCCUCGGAGCAGUAGGAGCUCACCCAAUAAUCCACUAUCAACUAAAUGGGAGUUUACAAAGUGUUGGCAAUCUCACAACCCAAAAGCCCAAUACACCCAAUAGCUCUCACACACCAAAGAAACAAAUAGAGAAAGAAAUAUAAUGAAUAAUUUCUUCUCUAUACAUAUAGUUCAAAGCUAUUACAACAACAAUUACUUUGGUGGAUGAUUACUAACCAAUUGAAACAACAACUUGUUCUUCUUUUUGGGCUCUCUGCAAGACUGCAACUCUCUGAAUUUUCUCUCUAUUUUUUCUCCUCUAAAACAAAAGGGCAGUAGCUCUCUUCUCUCUCUCUCUCUCUACCACACAACCGAAUGGAAGAAAGCAACCAAACCCUCCAUUAUUAAGGAGCCAAAACUCACGGGUGGUAAACAAAAAAAAAGCAACCCAUAUUUUCUUCCCCAAAACAAGGAAACAUGUUGUCCACUUUUGGUUUGUUUAUUCUAAAGUAUAUGGCCACUUGGCCACAUAAUCCAACAUAUAUAUGAUACAGCAUGCUAUAUUUGUAUUCAUUUUGGAUAUUGGUUUCAGGGGAAGCAAGUCAUAGGGAGAAUUGAGAAUGUGAUUGGUGUCAUAGAAGGAGCAGAGGAACCUGACCGGUAUGUUUGAAAAAUUUCAGCUAGAAGUCUUGAAUUUUAGUAUCAGCAUCAUUCUGAUUUGAAUGUGAGCACUUCUACCUUAGCAUGAUUAUUACUCCUUUGCCAAAACUAUGUAGAUUGGUCAUUCUGGGUAAUCACCGGGAUGCAUGGACAUUUGGAGCCGUUGACCCAAAUAGUGGCACUGCAGCACUGCUAGAGGUAAUUGAGGAUUUGAAUUAUGUAUCGUCAUCAAGUUCCUUCAUAACAAGGAAAACUUAGCAGAAGCUACUUUUGAUGUGUAAUGUAGGUUGCCCAAAGAUUAGGGAAGCUGCAGAAAAAAGGGUGGAAACCUCGACGUACGAUUGUCUUGUGCAAUUGGGAUGCAGAGGAAUACGGCCUGGUCUCUCAUUUUCUCCCUCUUUCUAUCUUUUGUGCGUGUGUAUCAAAUUUAUAUCUAUUUUUCUAUAUCUGAAGUUUUAAACUAAACACGAACAGAUAGGAUCAACUGAAUGGGUAGAAGAAAACAGGGAAAUGCUAGCUUCAAGGGCUAUUGCAUACUUGAAUGUUGACAGUGGAGUACACGGUCCAGGAUUCUUCGCCUCUGCAACUCCGCAGCUUGAUGAACUUCUUAAACAAGCUACUGAACAGGUACAGCGAAAUAUUAUUGAUAUGCUCACCCUGCUUGUGCAUAUGGUAAUGGGGUAGCAAAAUAUGGUGUGCUACAUAUACGUGGGUGCUUAAUAUGAUUUAGAGUUCCAAUUUUUUCUUCUGUUUUCUGUCAUAAAUUUCUCACCCAUCUCAAUCAUAUUCAAAAUUGACCCUUGAAGGUUAAAGACCCAGAUAACUCAUCACAAACUCUUUACCAAUCGUGGGUUGGUUCCAGAACUUCGCCUAAGGUAAGAAAUUGCUUCACCGAACUCCUCCAUAUAGAAUUUCAAUGAAAUUCCAGAAGGGCAUCAUGCCGGUGAUAAAAAAAAAAAAAACAGUACAAUUUCUGUCUAACCAGUAAUCAGAAGUAUUGCACUAAUUUACCAUAGAAAAAUGUUGGAAGAUGAUUUUCAACAAAUGGAUUUUAAAAUCUUGAUGAGCAUGUUAUUGCUAAAAAUCUAUAUUUUGCAUACAAAGAUUGACAGGUUGGGAAGUGCGGGAUCAGAUUUUGCAGCUUUUGUUCACCAUCUUGGAAUUCCGGCAACUCACAUGGCUUUCGGUGAAGGUAACAUAUUAGACGUGACCUAAGCUCUCAAACCAUGUUGCCACUAAAAAAAAAUAAACAUUAUGCUUUUAAUUACUAAGAAACAUAUCUAACAUUGCAGGAUACCCAGUGUACCAUUCAAUGUAUGAUGACUUUAUAUGGGUGAAGAAAUUUGGUGAUCCGAUGUUUCAUAGGCAUGUUGCAGGUCAGCCUUUACGAUUUCUCUCUUAACUGAACACAUCUCAGACAAUUCUACUUACACCCCCCUUGACAAUUUAAUUCAAGCACCUAGAUUGAAUUGAUUGGUGUCGAUCACAGUUGCAAGUGUGUGGGGUUUGGUAACUCUUUGGCUCGCAGAUGCAGAACUUUUGCCUUUUAAUUAUCUCUCGUACGCAAUGGAGCUACAGGUACGGAAAACAUUUUCUUCUAAUCAACAACUACAUGCACUCUGGAAAUUAUAAAAUGUAUCAGUUACGGGAGACACUUGUACAAAAAUAAUAUAUUGAAACUCUGAAUGCCAGACUUAUGCGAAUGACUUGGAAGAUGAUAUUUCGGACACGAACAUAAACCUAACCCCUCUGUUGAAGUCCAUUGAAGAGCUCAAAAGAGCAGCCACAGAAAUAAACAACGAGAGAAAGGUAUCGAUUGAGUUUCCUAUUACUCGUGAUCAAACACUUUCAUUUCUUAUGAGUACAGAACUGAACCAUGAUUCUCCAGGAAAUAGAACAAAACAAAGGUUGGCUGUUGACAUGGAAGAAAGAUCAUGUGAAGGUGAGAGAGCUGAAUGACAGACUAAUGAUGGCAGAGCGUGCAUUUACAGAUCAAGACGGACUAUUUGGAAGGUCAUGGUAUAAGCAUUUGGUAUGUUCCUUACAAAUCGUCAUGAAUAUUGUACUAAAGUUGUUUCCGUUGCUCUUUCAUUUGCGUUCAACCAUCUCUCAAAAGCGUUUUGUUUUCCUCACGUAGUAAUCUCGGAUUUUGAUUGUUACAAGAUGGACUAAUUGGUAUGGUACUUUUGCAGAUUUAUGGGCCUUCGAAGUAUGACGACUAUGCGUCGGAAUCCUUCCCUGGCAUAUAUGAUGCUAUUGCAAAGGCGAAAAUUUCGAACACCGCAGAGUCAUGGAAAUUUGUACAGCAUGAAGUUUAUAGGGUCUCCAGAGCUGUGAAACAUGCAUCACAAAUCAUCAAUGGCGAACUAACAUGACAAACAUCAGUAACAAACAACUACAUGUAUUUCCCCUACUUCCAAUCAAACACGUGUGAAGUUUUUUUUUAUUUUGGAAAUGUGUUCGAUGUGUUUGUCACUGAAAAUAUUGCAAACAUCUUUUGAAAAAUAAUGUGAGAGAGAGAGAGAGAGAGAGAGAGAGAGAGAGUACUGCGCACUUUGAAGUGAGAUAAAAAGAAAAUGCUACAGAUCAAUGUAAAUAUGUGGGUUGGAGUUGUAGUUGGCCUACCAUAAAUAUUGAGAGUUAAAUAUCUCAACCACACAACAUCUUGGAGUCGAACCUAAAACCAUUUCAUUUCUAAUACGAAUAAAGGGGAAUACUCAUUAACAAUUAAACAUGGUUUUCAAGCAGCUUUCUUGCAUUUUGGAGCCCAAAAGAAUCAGCAUUUUUUCUGGUGUGAAGAACUAGACAAGUUUUUGUUUUCACAAAAAACCUAUUCAAGUUUUUGGUUAUCUUCUAACUUUCAUCUAUUUGACCAUCUUCGAAUUCCAGCAACUCACAUCAAGUUUAUAGGGUCUCGUGGCAUGCACACAUGUGCUUGGAGAUUGAUUGAAUCAUUAUUUUGAUCACUUAUUUUUAAAAUCAAUCAAUGUCGUUCUUAACAUUUAUUAAAAUAAGUUAAUUUGAUCAUUUCUUUUACGUUUAGAUGUAUAAAUUUAAGAUUACUAAGGAAUUUUAAAAUGAUGGUAAUUGAAUUGAUGAGAUUUUAUUUUCUAGAAUUUGUGAAUUUUCUUGUUUGGUUAACCUAAAAGAACAAUGAAAUUGAAUACGGAAUUUAUUAUUUUUAAACUCUCAAUCAUAGAAAUUGGGAAAUGACACUUAUUUACAUGGAAUUUAAACUUGAGAAUUGGAGGUCCUAAAUUCCAAGUUUUUUUUCCAUGCGAAAAUUCUAAAUUUUUAUGUUUAUGAAUCCAAACAAAAGAAUUGAUGAAUGUCAAUUUAUAAAUUUUAACUUUUAUCCAAAUUCCAAGUUUAUUUUCCUCAUCAACUAUUAUGUUAGUGUAUUGAAGUGGCACAAAUGUAGAAAUCACAAAUUCAAUAAAAUGAUGUCACAAAAAUUACACCAAAAUAACAACGGUUUAUUCAAUUUAAUAAAUAAUGGAUUAAAAUGAUUUGACAAAAUUGAAAGUAUUUAUGUCAUUUUCUCCUUAUUUAACGGAAAUUUUUAACGGAAUGACUAAAGCAAUUAAUAGCGGACAAAUUCAAAAAUCAAUUAUAUAUAUUUCAAAUCUUAGGGAUUAGAGUGAGGAGUUAGGUCAAUUUGAAUGACCAUUUUAACUAAUAAGUCAUUAUCUAAUGUUGAGAUUGUUGUGUUAAUCUUAAAGGUUUCCGAAUGAGGAUCCUCCAAUUGUAUUAGUUCAUCGUAUAUCGUAUGAUCAUAAAUUAUUUUAAAUUAUUUUAUUUAAAAUUGAAUAUAAACAAUUCAUAAUAAAAACUGAUCGCAUAAUAUAUGAUUAACAGACACGAUUAAAAUUCAAGAGGAUUCAAAGAGAUACUCAUUCACAUCGCCAAUGGCCUUUGAGAUUGAUUGAACCGAUCCUUACUUUUAAAAUCAAUCACGGUCAUCAUUUUGGUCCCUUUACUUUUUAUCGCCAAUGGUUUAGUCCUUUUUUUUUUUUUUUUUUUGGGUGAAAAAUGGUUUAGUCCUUUUGCUGUUGACAUAUCCAGUAGCAAACCACCGGCUUCCGAAUUCCCCAUUUCGCCAAUAAUGUAAUAAAAAAUUAAAGCUUUCCCUAAUCACCAUCUAAUACACGACUGCCCUAUGAUUAAUCCAAUGCCAUCAUCCGCAUACAGGAUUAUUACAUAUUAAACUCCAUGAUUAUCCAAACGGCUGCAGCAGCCACUCUGCUGACCGCCAUAGCCACCACUUUCACCUUCCAUCUCAUUUCUCCAACCCCAAAAUCCUUCUACCACUCUCUCUUCACAUCCCCCUCACUUUCAGACAAUGCUUCUAUCUCUCACCACCUCCACACCCUCACCCGUCGCCCCCAUGUGGCCGGCCAAGAAGCCAAUGCCGAGGCCGCCGCCUACGUCCUCUCCGUCUUCACCUCCUCCAACAUCAAAACCCACAUCGCCCCAUACCAAGUUGCCCUCACUUACCCUGUCUCCCG
rnacentral:lncRNA from 1 species